rnacentral:rRNA from 1 species
CCUACGGGAGGCAGCAGUAGGGAAUUUUCCACAAUGGGCGAGAGCCUGAUGGAGCAAUACCGCGUGAUGGAUGAAGGCUUUCGGGUCGUAAACAUCUUUUAUCUGUGACGAAUAUGACGGUAGCAGAUGAAUAAGGAUCGGCUAACUACGUGCCAGCAGCCGCGGUCAUACGUAGGAUCCAAGCGUUAUCCGGAUUUACUGGGUGUAAAGAGUUGCGUAGGUGGCAGAGUAAGUAAAUAGUGAAAUCAUCCCGCUCAACGGGAUUCCCAUUAUUUAAACUGCUCAGCUUGAGAGUGAGAGAGGUAGAUGGAAUUGCUAGUGUAGGAGUGAAAUCCGUAGAUAUUAGCAGGAACACCGAUGGCGUAGGCAGUCUACUGGCUCAUUUCUGACACUAAGGCACGAAAGCGUGGGGAGCAAACAGGAUUAGAUACCCUGGUAGUCCACGCCGUAAACUAUGGACGCUAGCUGUGAGAAGUAUCGACCCUUCUCGUAGCGAAGCUAACGCGUUAAGCGUCCCCACCUCGUGAGUACGGUCGCGACGAACGAAACGAAGAAAGAAAGUAGUACGGACGUGAGACGUAGACGACGGACGACGACGAGGGAGGAGGNG